GUAGGUGGCAAGCGUUGUCCGGAAUUAUUGGGCGUAAGGCGCGCGCAGGCGGUUCUUUAAGUCUGAUGUGAAAGCCCACGGCUCAACCGUGGAGGGUCAUUGGAAACUGGAGAACUUGAGUACAGAAGAGGAAAGCGGAAUUCCACGUGUAGCGGUGAAAUGCGUAGAGAUGUGGAGGAACACCAGUGGCGAAGGCGGCUUUCUGGUCUGUAACUGACGCUGGGGCGCGAAAGCGUGGGGAGCAAACAGGGAUUAGAUACCCUGGUAGUCCACGCCGUAAACGAUGAGUGCUAAGUGUUAGGGGGGUUUUCCGCCCCCUUAGUGCUGCAGCUAAUGCAUUAAGCACUCCGCCUGGGAGUACGGCCGCAAGGCUG
rnacentral:rRNA from 1 species